rnacentral:misc_RNA from 1 species
AACGCACAUUGCGCCCCUUGGUAUUCCAUGGGGCAUGCCUGUUCGAGCGUCAUUUACACCCUCAAGCUCAGCUUGGUGUUGGGCGUCUGUCCCGCUUCGUGCGUGGACUCGCCCCAAAGGUAUUGGCAGCGGUCCUUGCCAGCUUCUCGCGCAGCACAUUGCGCUUCUCGAGGCUGGCGGAUCGGCGUCCAUCAAGCCCACUUCCACAGUUUGACCUCGGAUCAGGUAGGGAUACCCGCUGAACUUAA